rnacentral:rRNA from 1 species
GAUGAACGCUGGCGGCGUGCUUAACACAUGCAAGUCGAACGGAAAGGCUCCUGCUUGCAGGGGUACUCGAGUGGCGAACGGGUGAGUAACACGUGGGUGAUCUGCCCUGCACUUCGGGAUAAGCCUGGGAAACUGGGUCUAAUACCGGAUAGGACCACAUUUUGGAUGGUGUGGUGGAAAGUUUUUCGGUGAGGGAUGAGCUCGCGGCCUAUCAGCUUGUUGGUGGGGUAAUGGCCUACCAAGGCGUCGACGGGUAGCCGGCCUGAGAGGGUGUACGGCCACAUUGGGACUGAGAUACGGCCCAGACUCCUACGGGAGGCAGCAGUGGGGAAUAUUGCACAAUGGGCGCAAGCCUGAUGCAGCGACGCCGCGUGGGGGAUGACGGCCUUCGGGUUGUAAACUCCUUUCGCUAGGGACGAAGCGCAAGUGACGGUACCUGGAGAAGAAGCACCGGCUAACUACGUG